rnacentral:lncRNA from 1 species
UACAGUACCAUUCAAAAAUAUCGAUUCGAUAUCGUUUUUCUCCGAUUUCCGUGUUUCUCGAAUCACACCGAGUACCGCGGAUUUCACUCCUAAAAUCCUCCCAAAGAUUCUCUCCCAACACCGCGUGGCUGUAAUUGGUUAUUGCCCAUCGGAAGUACUAAAAAUUAACGACGCGUGACAACAUAAUCGGAUUACCCAGAUAAUUCACCUAUGAACAUUUAAUCGAUCUAGGUUGCACAGGUGUGCUUUAAAAUCACGGUAUUAAAAUUGAAAAUGUUUUCCUUUCUUUGGUAGAUAAAGAUGUGACAAUAUCAUUU